rnacentral:tRNA from 1 species
GUCCCUGUAGCUCAGUUGGAGAGAGCAUUUGCCUUCUAAGCAAAUGGCCGCGUGUUCGAAUCACGCCAGGGACG